GACGUAGGGGGCGAGCGUUUGUCCGGAUUCAUUGGGCGUAAAGCGCGCGUAGGCGGCUGCGCAAGUCGGUUGUGAAAUUCCGGGGCUCAACCCCGGAACUGCGUCCGAUACUGCGUGGCUAGAGGUAGGUAGGGGAGAUCGGAAUUCCUGGUGUAGCGGUGAAAUGCGCAGAUAUCAGGAGGAACACCGGUGGCGAAGGCGGAUCUCUGGGCCUUACCUGACGCUCAGGCGCGAAAGCUAGGGGAGCGAACAGG
rnacentral:rRNA from 1 species